rnacentral:rRNA from 1 species
GACGAACGCUGGCGGCGUGCUUAACACAUGCAAGUCGAGCGGUAAGGCCCUUUCGGGGGUAUACGAGCGGCGAACGGGUGAGUAACACGUGGGUGACCUGCCCUCAGCUCUGGGAUAAGCCCGGGAAACUGGGUCUAAUACCGGAUAUGACUCCAUGACGCAUGUUGUGGGGUGGAAAGCCUUGUGCGGCUGAGGAUGGGCCCGCGGCCUAUCAGCUUGUUGGUGGGGUGAUGGCCUACCAAGGCGACGACGGGUAGCCGGCCUGAGAGGGCGACCGGCCACACUGGGACUGAGAUACGGCCCAGACUCCUACGGGAGGCAGCAGUGGGGAAUCUUGGCGCAAUGGGCGAAAGCCUGACGCAGCGACGCCGCGUGAGGGAU